GUUAGGGGUAUUAAAACAUAUAUUUAGCCCUGGUGAGAAAAACGUAAUAAGAGACCAAUAAAAUUAUGUAUAUUUAAUACAUUUUCAAUUUUGGAUAUCGGCCACAUUUCAAAUGUCCAUUAUACUUGAAUGCACCACUUAGUUGACGUAACCCCAAUGGGGUCAUGGGAGCCUAGGCCCUCAACAGCCAAUCAGGAGCUACGCAGGUCAUGUUCAGUUUAUUAGUGAGGAGGAAGUGUAGACGCGUUGUUUCUUCGGUCCUUUACGAUAUUAGCAGAGGGGAGUAAGUCCGAGAAAGAAGAAAAACGACGAGUACAUAAUUGAAUGAGGCAGAUAAACCAGUGCGCUCACCUGCUGGGAGUCGGGAGCUGAGUGAAUGAAUGAAGGGGAGGAGUUACGACGGUCAGGCUUCUGAGAGGAUGGGAGGGUUUGAUGACCAGGACAAGAUCCCAAUAGUAUUUGAUGGCGAGCUAUUAGCCCUGAAGGCGAAGACACAGACAAGGAGAUACAGGGCUGCAUAAAUCUCCACCGUGGUGGAACCUACAGGAGAACACUAACAUUUUACCAACUUAGAGCUGAGGACAGCGCUGAGCCGUGAGAGAAGAGAGCGUCUGGGUCUGGAAGCAGCCUCAUUAACAGUAAAUAUUAUGUUUGCCGCGCGGAGAGUCAUCAGAUGCGGGCCAACGGCCAAAUCUCCUGAGAGUCGAUCUUCUUUCCUCCAGUUAAACUGUUGCUGCGUGAAUCAUAAGCCCUUUAUCUUUUUAAUUCAUAGAUGAAUCACCCGUCGUGUUGAGUUUGAACUGUGCGGUCGUGUCAAAUUAAGGAAUCCAUCGCAGCCAAAUGACGAGGGACCGCAGGAAGAGCUGUUGUUUCCCUCUGAGCUGUUACUUAGGUAACUGGGGCAGGGGUAAAAAAAGGAACACAUUAACUUUUAUGUCACUGGAAUACCUGAGGCGUCGUGUUUUAAGUGGUUUAUUUUGUCACACUGUCAUGAAUAAUAAGAGGAAACCCCUAAAGAAAAUUUUGUUUAGAGAAUAACUUGUCAAAUUUUUAUAAUUGAAGGUUGCAUUACCGUUAAUGGUGGGUGGUGACCUAAAAGUCAAUUGCAGGAAUGUGU